AGUGAACGCUGGCGGUAGGCCUAACACAUGCAAGUCGAACGGCAGCACAGUAAGAGCUUGCUCUUACGGGUGGCGAGUGGCGGACGGGUGGGGAAUACAUCGGAAUCUACUUUUUCGUGGGGGAUAACGUAGGGAAACUUACGCUAAUACCGCAUACGACCUACGGGUGAAAGCAGGGGAUCUUCGGACCUUGCGCGAUUGAAUGAGCCGAUGUCGGAUUAGCUAGUUGGCGGGGUAAAGGCCCACCAAGGCGACGAUCCGUAGCUGGUCUGAGAGGAUGAUCAGCCACACUGGAACUGAGACACGGUCCAGACUCCUACGGGAGGCAGCAGUGGGGAAUAUUGGACAAUGGGCGCAAGCCUGAUCCAGCCAUACCGCGUGGGUGAAGAAGGCCUUCGGGUUGUAAAGCCCUUUUGUUGGGAAAGAAAAGCAGCAGGUUAAUACCCCGCUGUUCUGACGGUACCCAAAGAAUAAGCUCCGGCUAACUUCGUG
rnacentral:rRNA from 1 species